rnacentral:misc_RNA from 1 species
CAAACCUCAAGCUCUCGCUUGGUGUUGGGCGUCGUCCUCACGGACGUGCCCGAAACCCGUAGGCAGCGGUGCCCGUCUCCCAGCGUAGUCAAGUUACCCGCUUGCGAGCGCGCGGUGCCGCCCGCCAGAUGAACAACCACAUUCUUUCUAUG